rnacentral:rRNA from 1 species
UACGUAGGGGGCGAGCGUUGUCCGGAUUUAUUGGGCGUAAAGAGCGUGUAGGCGGCCAGGUAGGUCUGCUGUGAAAACUCGAGGCUCAACCUCGAGACGUCGGCGGAAACCAUCUGGCUAGAGUCCGGAAGAGGAGAGUGGAAUUCCUGGUGUAGCGGUGAAAUGCGCAGAUAUCAGGAGGAACACCAGUGGCGAAGGCGGCU